rnacentral:rRNA from 1 species
CGACCGGCGCACGGGUGAGUAACACGUAUCCAACCUGCCGUCUACUCUUGGCCAGCCUUCUGAAAGGAAAGGUUAAUCCAGGAUGGGAUCAUGAGUUCACAUGUCCGCAUGAUUAAAGGUUUACCGGUGUAAGAUGGGGAUGCGUUCCAUUAGAUAGUAGGCGGGGUAACGGCCCACCUAGUCUUCGAUGGAUAGGGGUUCUGAGAGGAAGGUCCCCCACAUUGGAACUGAGACACGGUCCAA